rnacentral:rRNA from 1 species
AAUGAACGUUGGCGGCGUGGAUUAGGCAUGCAAGUCGAACGGGCCGCAAGGCCAGUGGCGCAAGGGUGAGUAAUGCGACGGUAACCAACCCCGGGAUUGGGUAUAGCCGCGGGAAACCGCGGGUAAUCCCCAGCGACGCGAGGUGUCGGCAUCGGCACCUCGCCAAAGCUUCGGCGUCCCGGGACGGGCUGUCGUGGUAUUAGCUAGUUGGCGGGGUAACGGCCCACCAAGGCUUCGAUGCCUACCGGGCGUGCGAGCGUGGCCCGGCACACUGGGACUGAGACACUGCCCAGACUCCUACGGGAGGCUGCAGUCGAGAAUCUUCGGCAAUGGGCGCAAGCCUGACCGAGCGACGCCGCGUGGAGGAUGAAGGCCCUCGGGUUGUAAACUCCUGUCGAGGGGGAAGAAGGGCCGCAAGGCCUUGACUGAUCCCUGGAGGAAGCACGGGCUAAGUUCGUGCCAGCAGCCGCAGUAAAAC